GUGUCUUCGAGUCGUUGAUUUCACACUGCCGAGAAAAGCCUCUAGAUAGAAAAUAGGUGCCCGUACCGCAAACCGACACAGGUAGUCAAGAUGAGAAUUCUAAGGUGAGCGAGCGAACUCUCGUUAAGGAACUCGGCAAAAUGACCCCGUAACUUCGGGAGAAGGGGUGCUCUUUAGGGUUAACGCCCAGAAGAGCCGCAGUGAAUAGGCCCAAGCGACUGUUUAUCAAAAACACAGGUCUCUGCUAAACCGUAAGGUGAUGUAUAGGGGCUGACGCCUGCCCGGUGCUGGAAGGUUAAGAGGAGUGGUUAGCUUCUGCGAAGCUACGAAUCGAAGCCCCAGUAAACGGCGGCCGUAACUAUAACGGUCCUAAGGUAGCGAAAUUCCUUGUCGGGUAAGUUCCGACCCGCACGAAAGGCGUAACGAUUUGGGCACUGUCUCAACGAGAGACUCGGUGAAAUCAUAGUACCUGUGAAGAUGCAGGUUACCCGCGACAGGACGGAAAGACCCCGUGGAGCUUUACUGUAGCCUGAUAUUGAAAUUCGGCACAGCUUGUACAGGAUAGGUAGGAGCCUUUGAAACGUGAGCGCUAGCUUACGUGGAGGCGCUGGUGGGAUACUACCCUAGCUGUGUUGGCUUUCUAACCCGCACCACUUAUCGUGGUGGGAGACAGUGUCAGGCGGGCAGUUUGACUGGGGCGGUCGCCUCCUAAAAGGUAACGGAGGCGCUCAAAGGUUCCCUCAGAAUGGUUGGAAAUCAUUCAUAGAGUGUAAAGGCAUAAGGGAGCUUGACUGCGAGACCUACAAGUCGAGCAGGGUCGAAAGACGGACUUAGUGAUCCGGUGGUUCCGCAUGGAAGGGCCAUCGCUCAACGGAUAAAAGCUACCCCGGGGAUAACAGGCUUAUCUCCCCCAAGAGUUCACAUCGACGGGGAGGUUUGGCACCUCGAUG
rnacentral:rRNA from 1 species